rnacentral:rRNA from 1 species
AGCGAACGCUGGCGGCAGGCCUAACACAUGCAAGUCGAACGAACUCUUCGGAGUUAGUGGCGGACGGGUGAGUAACACGUGGGAACGUGCCUUUUGGUUCGGAAUAACUCAGGGAAACUUGUGCUAAUACCGAAUGUGCCCUUCGGGGGAAAGAUUUAUCGCCAUUAGAGCGGCCCGCGUCUGAUUAGCUAGUUGGUGAGGUAACGGCUCACCAAGGCGACGACCAGUAGCUGGUCUGAGAGGAUGACCAGCCACACUGGGACUGAGACACGGCCCAGACUCCUACGGGAGGCAGCAGUGGGGAAUCUUGCGCAAUGGGCGAAAGCCUGACGCAGCCAUGCCGCGUGAAUGAUGAAGGUCUUAGGAUUGUAAAAUUCUUUCACCGGGGACGAUAAUGACGGUACCCGGAGAAGAAGCCCCGGCUAACUUCGUG